UGUGGUGUAGUGUAGUGGUUUGAACAUUGGAUUAUGACUCUGGAGACCAGGGUUCAAUUCUUUGCUCGGUCA